rnacentral:rRNA from 1 species
GGCGAACGGGUGAGUAACACGUGGAUAACCUGCCCUCGGCACCGGGAUAGCCCGGGGAAACCCGGAUUAAUACCGGAUAGCCCUUCAGCCCUUCGGGGCGGUCGGAAAAGGUAGCUUCGGCCUCUGGCCGAGGAUGGGUCCGCGGCGGAUUAGCUUGUUGGUGGGGUAACGGCCUACCAAGGCGACGAUCCGUAGCUGGUCUGAGAGGACGAUCAGCCACACUGGGACUGAGACACGGCCCAGACUCCUACGGGAGGCAGCAGUGGGGAAUCUUGCGCAAUGGGCGAAAGCCUGACGCAGCGACGCCGCGUGAGGGAAGAAGGCCUUCGGGUUGUAAACCUCUUUCAGGAGGGACGAAGCUACUCGGGUGAAUAGCCCAGAGGGUGACGGUACCUCCAGAAGAAGCCCCGGCUAACUACGUGCCAGCAGCCGCGGUAAUACGUAGGGGGCAAGCGUUGUCCGGAUUUACUGGGCGUAAAGAGCGUGUAGGCGGCCAGGCAGGUCUGUUGUGAAAACUGGAGGCUUAACCUCCAGACGUCGACAGAAACCGUCUGGCUAGAGUCCGGAAGAGGAGAGUGGAAUUCCUGGUGUAGCGGUGAAAUGCGCAGAUAUCAGGAAGAACACCAAUGGCGAAGGCAGCUCUCUGGGACGGUACUGACGCUGAGACGCGAAAGCGUGGGGAGCGAACAGGAUUAGAUACCCUGGUAGUCC